AGGUGAGUUCUCUUCUUCCCAAUUUCUACCACUCUGCUUUAGAUCUCUGUUAAAGUUCUAAACUUUACCAUCUGGGUAUCUCUAAAUUCGUCGAAAAAUCAAACCUUUAUUAACCUAAACCCGAAUUCAAAGUCUUAGCUUUUCUGGGUUUCUGAUUAGAAUUUUUCCCUGGUUAGGCAAAUGAGGUGUCACAAUCAUCAUCUGAAGGAGAGAUGAUGAUGGUACCAUUGAUGGAAGAGAAGUUUAUGGUAAUGAAUGAAACAAGAAGGAAGCUAGGGAGUUUUCAGAUAUGUUCAGUUUGUACUUGUUGUGGUGGUGCUAAAGGUCUUUGCUUGCCUUCACCUUGUUGUUAUGCAAUUAACUGUAACAUCCCUAAU
rnacentral:lncRNA from 1 species